CAUGGCAGCCAGCCCCGGCCUCCUCCCGGCGGGCACCGCGCCGAGGGACCAAACCAUUGGGUGACGCCGAGGGAGGCACGAGGACGCGCGGCUCAGGAGCUUUAACUGCACGAACGCAGAACUCCAAAGUAUGUACUAGAAAAAGAUGCAAGUUCGACGAACGCCCUUGACUGUGACAUCUGAGCCUUUCGUCAGACACGUGUUUCUCUUACAGGGGUCAGUUCCCCCUCUCCGUGUCGGCUUUUAGGCUCGUCCACUGACUGGGCAAAGGAUGGACGAUUCCAAAAUGUAAAAGCAAACUCGUGGCGACUCAGAGCUGGCCCGCACUACUGGAAAGAUGACUGCCUAGCGCGUUAUCAAAAUGAAGCAGAGUGGCUUGGCUCACUUAUGCCCGAGAGCACGGCGGCAACGGUCACUGGCUUGGAAAGAAGCUAGCCACCGUGUGCUCAGGACACUCAAGCAAUCUGUGGCAGGGCCCCAGUCAGGAGGCGCUGACCUCCCCAGCUGAUGUCACCGGGUAGUCAGACAGGAAAAGUGGACGUGGACCCCAGCCCCUGUCCACGUCCUGGGAGGCCUCAAGAAAUCAGACCUGCUCGCACCUUGACCCUGGACAUCCAGGCUCCAGAACUGUGAGACCUAGAUUUCUGCUGUUCAAACAUCUGCUCCUGGAUAUUCUGUGAUGGCAGCCCUAGCAGACAAGCACGAUUCGCAAAUACGUUAGGUACCCAGAGAAAAAGCUAGAAGGAGACGUGUGACCUGAAAACAGGCUCUGAUGAGAUAAGUCGGUUGAAGAUGUUGAUCAAAGAAAAGUGAUCACCAUAGAAUGGAGGUGGCAGGUUUGUCACUGUUCCCUGUAAAGUUCUUUCAACUUUUCUUUUUUUUUUUCUUUCAACUUUUCUAUGUGUUUGUAAAUUUUAUAGUAAACAAUUGGGGAGAACUGAGGAGCCAGCUUCAAGUGUUCCCCCCUCUGGGACCAUUCUAGCUUCUAAAGAAUAAAAAAAAGCCGUGUAUGAUCUCAGGUGAAUAUCA